UGUGACAAGUAGAAAGAACACACAAACACACACACACACACACAUGUAGAGUGAGUGCAUGGAGAGAGUUAGUGGAUGGCGGAGAGAGGAGAAUUAAAUGAGCUUUGGGAAAAAGAUUAUAAAAGAUUAUAGUUUAGGGCCGCUGCUUGGCGCCGCCUGGUGUUUCAAAGCUGCUAAUGCGCCGACAAACAAAGACUGUCCGACCGGGUUGGUGGUCUUCAUUUACUGACGGUUACUGACAUGUAAAUACACAGUGAAUGGUAAAAGAAUAUAACCUGCAGAUUGGAGAUAAAGGACACAAGGAAGUGUUUUUUAAUAUUGAUUCAAAUGGGCGGAAAGAAAAGAAUUAUUCUACAUAGAACUAUAGAAUUAAAACUACAAAAAUACGUUAAAGAAACCCACAUUUAAUCAAAUUAAUAAUGUAUUUAUUUCUGUGAUUUGAUAUAUUUAUAUGGAAGUUAAUGUGUAAUAUUUUAUGUCAUAUUGAAACUAAUAUGAAGAGGUUGAAGCUGAAAUUGUUGCAAACUAUUAGUAAUCAUAUAUUUUCUUAACAAAAGAGAAAAAAAAUGUUCUUUUAACUAUUUGGGGAAGAUAAACUGUCCCUCUUUUUUUCCCUCUUGGACUCAGACGGUUUCACAUUUGUGUCCUUUCAUUUCUGCAACGUCUCAAAGUGGAGAAAAAAAAGUUCCCUUGAAGCUUUAUUUCCCUGCAGGAACGUGGAUGUUACUGUCCUGGUGACCAUGGCAACAGCUGUGAUGACACCUACACCAUGACCCUCUUUACCGUUGCCAAGCAUGUGUCCAUUAGAUUCAAAAUAAGCAAGACAGAGGCGAGACAGAGGGGAGAGAGUAGGGACAGAGGGGAGACAUAGGGGAGGAAAGAGAGGGAGAUGAGAGGGGACAGAGGUGAAAAAUAAAAAGAAAAGCCGUGAGCCCUUUUCUGCAUCAGGAGGGGAAAAUCUGAUUUUUAUGAACUUCAGAUUGAAUGUCAAACAGAAUGGAAUAAUGGAGGAAGAGUAAAAUAAAUUCAAGUGCAAUGUAUAUUUAUGCACGCUUAGCAGUUUCUUACAUUUGUAUUUUUAAGUGUGAAACGAAUGAUACAUAAAUAUGCAUACGUAAUACUGAUUAGAUCUUGGUCUGAUGUCAUUAACCUCCGUGAUGGUACAGCCCGUGGAUCCAAACUGUCCCAGCACAUCAUUUCUCAUGACAUCACUAAAAUACGACAGGAUUUUAUUUUUAAAAGCCUGAAGUGGCAAACGAUCCCCAGGAGAGGGCAGAAGCAGUCAAGCUUCGAACAGGCCGAGUUGCCGUCUCCUGGUCCGGGAUCGAUCGGGCCUCCUCUCUGGUAAAGGUCCAAAUGUAGAAAACAUUGGAAUUCAAAGGGUGGAGGUGAGAAAGGGAUCGAUGAUUAAUACCCUGGUCAUCAAUAGUCUCUUCACUGGAAAAACAGCCUCAAUCAAACGUGUGUAGAGUUUUGAGCUGGACAGGUGGAUUUCGUUGUGCAUCUCAGCUGCAUAAUGACAGUGAGUGACCUGCGAAACUUAAGGUACAACAUCUGGAUUCAAUGGCAGAAAAUACAGACAAAAUGAACCCAUUCAACUGUGCAAAAUGACCAAUUGCAGAAUCACAUCUGCCUGUUGGCCAUAGCCUCUAUGGUUAAUGGUCGUGGUUGAUGGUCCCUGGUUCCUUCUCAUGUUAAUGUUAAUGGACCAUAGAUCAUGGUCAUAGUUUGUUCCCCAUGGUUCAUGUUCAUGGUACAUCUUCAUGCUUCAUGCCCCAAGGUUCAUGUUCACGGUCCAUCAUUUCAUGGCCCUGGUUCAUCCUCACUUGUCACGGUCCAUUUUCGUGGUUCACCCUCACGGUGCCCGUAGAUUCGUGUGCAGUGUUGGAGCUGCAGCGGUGAAUUCGGAAAGAAGCUCGCGCGUGCCAGCCCCCCCCCC
ensembl:lncRNA